UCGUCGAAGUUGAAAGCGUUUGGUGCUCGCAGCGGAAAAGCGAACCUGGCGGCACCCAAACAAAUAUUUAGAAAAAAAAUGAAUAAAUAAGGAAAAGCUGGGGAAAACUUUGAAAACGGGCGCGCGAACAAGUGAGCAGCGGCGGCAGAAUCAAAAUCAGCAGCCGAAGUGAAGUGUAAAUAAGUGAAAUACCCAGCACACACAGAUACACACGCACACAGACACCGGAGUUUGGGGCCUGGCAUUAGAACGGCAUGGGGUAGUUGUUUAUAUUUAUAUCCAGCGAUUCCAGUUUACCCCAGCUUCCCCCCCGCAGCAGGUGCGACAUUCCUUUGAUUAUAGACUUUUGCCUAAACGGCAUUGCAUUUCCCGACCUGCGUAACUAUGUUCGCUUACUAGCCUUAAAUGGAGUGUAUCUAAAUAUACAUACUAAGAAGUAGAUUAUUAAAUCGGCUCUUAAAGGAUUAUGUGUUUAAAAGAUCUCCCUUUUCGGCCAUCAAAGAUGCAGCAUUUCCCCAAUUAAAUAUAUGUCCUAAAUGGGCAAUGCGAUUUCCGACCCAUUUCUCGGUUCGGCACCCUUUUGCAUUUAUCGAUGUCUCCGUCCGGGUUCCCUUAGCUUGACUGAGAUUGAUAUGGGAACAAUGCAGCCCGAUAAAAGGGGCUACAGAAAAUAAAAACCAAUUAAACCAACCACUCGGAAAGUUAGACCGGCCAGCAAAGAACCCUUAAAAUUGCAGCGCGCAAAUUUUAAUUGGAAAAACUUGCCUAAUUGAAGUUUAACAAACAAAGCGACUGGGCACGGGCUGGGGCAAUGCAAAUCCUGUCUGGGACAGCACAAACUUCGUUCUAAUUUUCAAUUAAAUGAAGACAAAACGAGGCAAAAAAAAAUAAGGAAAGGAAUUGUGCCAAGUGCAAUGACCACAGCUGGAUCCCGAGCCGCAGGACCUGUUCAUUGUUCAUUGUUGGCUUCCGCCUGUGCGGAUUCCGAGGGCGUUUUAGCGUUUGGCACGUCUUUCCGUAUCUGAAAACAAUUAAAAUAUGCAUAAAAUGUAAAUGAGAGAUGCCAAACUAAAACGCCAGGACCAAAGUCAAACGCCAAGUGUCCUUUCUAGUCCACAACGAUUCCGUUUCUGUUUAUCGAAUUUAUAGCACGUCAAGCGGAAAGCACAGUGCAAAUGAAAAAGUGAAAAUAAUUUGUGAAUAAAUCAGUUGGUAGAAACAAUGAUGGACUAACGGAUUUUUGCCGGACCUUGCGUGAAAUUUGGCAGAAGCUGAAUCGAGAAGGAUAAACUUUUUGGCCCGCUAUGCCCAGGAAUUGUGCGGUGGCGAGGAGCGCGGCUGUUGAUAUAGAUUCAGAUUCUGAUUCAGAUACAGAUACAGAACCAAUUUUAUUUGCCGCUCGCAUUGAACAUGUGCCAAAGCUGCGAGCUGCUCGAAGCUGACUCUGGUAAAACCGCGACGAGGACGACGAUGCCACUUGAUUUCGGCCAACUUAAAUAAGCAGGCAAGGCGAGGCGAAGCGAGGCGCCACCAAACCGCACCACCAACUCAAUCACCGACACAGCCGCGCGCAAAAAAAAAACAAACAAAUAAACUAGGCAAAAAGCAGCUCGCAACCGGAAAUGGCCGCGCCCAUCGACGAGAGUGUGCUGAAUGCACUGAGGGGCGUGACCAGCGCCCACACCCGCCUGCCCAAGCCGCUGCUCAUCAAGAUCUACGUGGCCAGCCUGAAGCAGGAGUUCAACCAGGAGCGCCGCAUGCUCCUCGAACUGGUCGGUCCCGAGCUGCAGUCCCUCUACGAUGACCGACAAAUUGAGCUGGAAUUCGUGGACAUGCACUUCGGCACUGGUGACCUGGAAGUGCAUCAGCUGGAGCGGGAUCCCUACUUGAUCCAUGACUAUCUGCACGAGAUCGACACCUGCCACGCCCACACGAAGAGCGUCUUCUUCAUGGUGCUCGUGGGCGAUGGCAUCGGUCGUCAGCUGCUGCCCACGAAAAUAGAUGAGGACAUCUUCUCCGCAGUCCUGGCUGAUCAGCAGACCUCUGCCGACCAUGAGGCCAUGCUGGUCAAGUGGUACGAAAAGGAUGCAAGUCAAUCGCAACGGCAGCUCAAGCAGGAUUAUCGCCUGAUGACCGCGGAUGCCUGGCUGGCUGAAUCACAGCGAAUGCAAAGCUUUCUGGAACAAGCCUUUCAAUUGUUGCUUCAAGGAUCCGGUGCAUCAGGACGAUCGCCUGACUUUGUAGAACGGGUUCAGCUGCUUCGACGCACGCAGAUCGAAAGGGAAGUCUCGCAGGCAAUGGGUAUGUUGGCCCUCACCAGCGAGAAAAUCCUGGCAGUUUUCCGAGAACGAGCCGCUCAGUGCAGCAAGGGGGACGUGGAGGCGGCAGAGCGGCUGCGAAAAAUCAAGGACGAACUCACCAUGAACCUUUCCACAGAUAAUCACACUACACUUGUGGUGCCCGGCAGUGCCGCCAGCGAGGCCAUCGACCCGGACAACGAGGACCACGAGUCCUACUUGAGCAAGUUCAAGAACAAAGUGACCGACAAGCUGCGCCUGCUAAUCGAGGCGCAUAUAACCAAUGAUCCCGACGUAAUCAAGGGGAGGAAAAAGACUGUGCAGGAAAUCUUUCACGAGCACGCCACGCACCUGCGAAUCCUGCGGGAGCACACGGACAGCGACGCUCUGGUGGAAUCGCGGGUGCCGCAACAGCUCCGCCAGAAUCUGAUGGCCAACUUCCGGAACGGCAGUCGGCAUGCUCCGUACUUUCUCUGCGGUGCGGAUGGGAGUGGCAAGAGCGCCAUACUGUGCCACCUGUACGGCCAGGUGGGCAGCUGGUUUGGAUCCACUCGCGUGCACCGGGUGAUUCGCUUUGCCAAGGCCACGCCCCGUUCCGCCUACAAUCUGGAGCUGCUUCGCGUGAUUUGCCAGCAGAUCUCAAUCAUCUUCAACAUACCGGAGGGCUAUUUGCCCAAGGACGCCUCCUUUGAUCCGCUGUAUAUCAACACUUGGUUCCAGAACCUGCUGCGUCGAGUCGAGGAUAUGGGCAAUGAUGUCCUCUUCCUGUUUAUCGAUGACUUGCACUUGCUGAAUCCACUGGACUGCGAUAUUGUGACGGCUCUUUCGUGGCUGCCCACAUCGCUGCCGUGGAAUGUGCAGAUCAUCUGCAGCUCAACCACGCCCGUGGAGCAGCUCAAGUUUACACCGAUGCAGCGGGAUCGCUUUAAGUCCGUCGAAUACCAGUUCGAUCUGAAUAUGGGUGACUAUGCCACAAAGCUAAAGAUACCGCCGCAAUGCAUUCCGGGCGACGUGAGCUUUGCCCUCUACGUGGAGCAGCAGUUCGACCAGUUGGAACGCCACUACGGACGACAGGCGGUGGGCGAUCUGGCUUCCUACAUCACCUGCUCGGAGUACGGAUUGAGUGAGACGGAGCUGCUGGAGCUUCUCAUGCCCACCGACGAUCCGGAGUCGCUUAUCGAGACCAAGAACGGACACUUUAGCUUCGCCACCUUCAAGAAGAUCCAUCGUGAGAUGGACCUACUACUGCUCCUGCACGACAAGAUAAUGUCCGGCAAGGUGCUGAUCCAGUGGCGGCACAACUACUGCGCCUCGGUGGCCAAGCGACGGUACAUGGACGUCCAGAGGACGCGUAGCCUGCACUGCGAGCUGGCCAACCUGUUCUUUCCGCAGGACGAGGACGAAAGCACGCUGGAGAACGAGUCGAAUCGCAGCGAGAGCAAGUCGGUGAUCAGCCUAAAGGACAGGGACCGCGAGAAGGACUCCCUGUCGGCGGUGUCAGCUGUUUCCGCCGGCCGGAAGUCAUCGUCCACGCAUCACAACGACGACACAUCCACCUUCUACAACCCCAUCGCAGCGGAUGUGAGCUACAGCAUGCGCCACGUGGAGGAGAGCUGGCACCACCUGAUGCGAUCCGAUGACACCACCCGCUUCAAGCAGAUCGCUGUCUGCAACUUCGACUUCCUGCUGGCGGCGGUGCAAACCGUGUCGAUCAGCUACCUGCGCUGCCUGAUCGAGCACGUGCGCUGCUACAUCCUGGACAGGGACAUCGAGUUGAUUUACUACACGAUUCGGAAGUCGAGCGACGUCCUCACCCGCGAUCCCAUGCAGCUGGGCUCCCAGCUGAUAUCCUGGCUGCGUCCGAUCAGCGAGCACGACGACGAUGACAACUCGCUGCUGAGCAUGACGGUCCGCUCGGCGACCGCCUGGUGCGACGGCUAUGCGGUACCGCUACUCGUACCGCUCACCGGCUGGCUGCCCGCGCCGCUGCCCUCGCAGAUCCGCACGAUGACGGUGUCCGGAACGGGAUGCAUUCGUGCCGUGUGGCUGGCUCCGUCGAAGCAGCACCUUAUCCUGGCCACCAGCUCCGGCGACGUGCAGCAGUGGCACAUCAUGAGCAACUCACUCGAUCAGAUCUUCAAGGGACACACUGCGGCGGUCACGUGCCUCCUGGUGGCUCCCCAGUCGGAUUCGGAGCUGCUGCUGACCGGCUCCGAGGAUGCCACUGUUCUUGUGUGGCACGUAGGGCUGCGCGAGCGACGGGCGCACAUAAAGAACGCCCACACGGCUCCGAUUACGGGCGUGGCAGCCGGCGCCAAUAACACGCUCAUCAUAAGCAGCAGCGAGGAUGCAAGCAUCGCCAUCACGGACCUGGCCAGCGGCAAACUGAGACACCGCAUCACCCAUCAUCGCGGACCAGUGAGUGGAAUCGUGGUGGCCGGAGCUUGCGAUGUCCUCAUCUCGGGCGGUCUCGAUAGGACGAUUUGCGUGUGGGAUCUGGACAACUUUGCCCUGCUGAACACUAUGCAGAUGACGAGUGCUGUACUGCGUAUUGAUAUUUCGUGGAAUUCGGUCUUUUUGCUGGCUUUGUGUGAGGACAAUGCUCUUUAUGUCCGCACACUGGCAACCGGCAAGGAGUUGCACACACUCAAAGGACACAAGUCGAAGAUCCGAAGCAUUUCCAUUGGCAAGGACAGCCAGCGUUGUGUGGUGGGCUGUGAUGAUACACGAGCGCUGAUCUAUGACAUGCACGCCGGAAAACUGGUAAGAUCGCUGCCUCCGAAUCCGGGUCCAGUCACCGCCGUUCAUGCGAUGGAUAAUGACGAUUUCCUGGUCACCGUGGGCGGCAACAAGAUCACCUUUUACUCGUUCCGCAACGAGGAGCUCUAUGUGAAUCCCUACUCCCGGCAUCCACGUCGCAAACGCAGCCUGAAGCGUCAUGCGCAGGCGCAGCGAUCGCCAUCGACCACAUUGCCACCCAUCACCUGCUUCGAUUUGUCCCGCGACUCCCAGCAAAUGGCCAUCGCCUCCGGGCGCCAUGUCCACCUCAUGAGGAUCAAUACUCCGGAAUACCAGUGCACAUUGGAGGGGCACACAGCUGGGGUAUCUUGUCUCAAAUUUGCGCCGAAUGGUGAGUUUCUGGCCACCGGCUCCGAGGAUCGUUUGGUGCACAUUUGGAACCUGGCUCUGGGUGAGAUCUGCCACUCCUUUAAGGGCCACACUGCACCGGUGGUCAAGGUGGUGGUGCUAAUGGAUUCGUUGCGAGUAAUUUCCACGGAUCGCGAUUCUAUGCUGCUAGUUUGGAUGGCCCAUUCGGGCAAUUUGUUGCAGACCAUCCAGGGUCCAUACAAAAGUCUGUCCGUGACCAACAAUAUGCGCUUUGCCGUCUCCACGAAUGGUGAUAACACACUCAAGAUCUGGUCACUGACUCAGGAGGACGAGAAGUAUUCCGUUUCGCAUUCGGACGAAAUCACAUGCUUCGAGAUUAGCGCAGAUAGUGUGCACAUCAUCAGCGGAUCUCGGGACAUGUCCUUAAAGGUGUGGCAAGCGACGGGCGGUAAGCUCAGCCAGGUGCUGGUGGGUCACAGCGAUGCGGUCACCUGCGUGGCCGUUUCGGUAACCAACAAGACUCAGGUCCUGUCCGGCUCGAAGGACAUGAAUCUCAUCCUCUGGGACCUGCUCACCGGCGAAGAGGUGCACACGCUGGCAGGACAUCUGGGUCCUGUGAUUGGAGUCAAAGUUUCGGCAGAUGGUUCCACUGCCGUUUCUGGAAGCGAUGACAAGACUCUGAUCGUGUGGGAAACGAAGCGCGGACUAGCUCUGACCUCGCUCCAAAUGCACGUGCCCUUCACCCACUUCGACAUUAGUCUGGAGGUGUCUCGAGUCCUGGUACAGCUGGUGGACAGCUAUAAUCUUCCCGUGAUUUGCUUGCAUAACACUCCAGCGCAGUAUGUGAAACUGCCUACGUAUUCGGGUCCCAGCAAGGAUGUUGAAGAUCUAAGACCGCAGGGUCCCAAGCGUCAGAUGAAGCGGCUACUGAAGAAGGAGGUUUCGUUGGACACGUACACCUGGCAGAAGAAGUACGGCCAUCUGACCUCCUCCGUGAUGAUGGCCCAGGUGGAUGAGCGGCUGAAGCGGCGUUUCAGCGUUUCGGCAAGCAUGGAGGAGAUCUCUAAGAUAGCCGAGACUAAGACAGGAGCUUCCCAGGCGAAUCUGGGACCGGAGCAGGCGGCUCUGGCCCAAUCGCAGCACUUUGAUCAACUGGAGGCGCUGUGGAAUAAGCGCUCGCCGCCGAGAAGACGUCACAAUGCGGGUCUCUCGAGGCAAACCUCGCUGGUGGAGGACCGGCUCGAAUCGUCGGACGACGACGAGUACCAGGACGAGCGCGCAGCCACCGCCCACAGUUCGAAAACCAGUUCCCGCAGCUCACUGCUCCCAUAGACAAGUGCAUCCGGAGCAGUAGGAACGGCCAGCACUCUGAAUAAAUACUAAAUAUAAUAACCAAGAAAAGAAAUGAAAUGAAAACCAUUUAGAUAAGUUUACCCACCCACUCGAUUGGCAUGCUAUCUCCAACUCCAGUGUUUUUCCGCAAUUCGAAACUAGAGUCCACCGUACAGAGCACUUUGCAAGAAACCAAACACCGAACGGCACCAUCCAAAAAUUGACUAACCCAAAUCGGCUAAUUUUUUGGUUAAAUUUCGUCUUCUAGAUGACUUCGACGAUUUCUUUCAGUGGGGCUAGGACGUUAGGAUAAGAUAUCACAAUGUUAUUGCAUUAGUAAUUAGUACUAGGCAUUAGAACACACUUAGCUUUCGAGUAGAGUAAUACGGGCAUACCUAUACCUCAAAUGCAAAUGCUGAACAAGAAACACUUUUGAGAAUUCUACACAGUUUAUAACGUACUCGUAUAAUAGCAUACAUAUGUGUAUAAUCGACAAAACAACCCAUGCACAUCCGGCUGGAUAUCCGCAAAUCAUUUCGCUUCGGGAGGAGGAGGAUACCACAAGGGAUAAGACCUGAUACAGCAAUUAAAUGGAAUACUUAUCCAAAAUGCCAAGCAAUAAUGGGGCAGACGAGCAUAACACAUAACCCAUCUCCCAUUUCUCUCUGUGUACGAGUAGAUGUAAACGAAUGAAAUGAAUGUGUAGUUAAAUCUGAUAAACCACCGUCUCAGACUUUGUAGGAAUUCUAGAGUUAAGUAAGCCCUUUACCAUUUACAAAUUUUAUUGUUGUAGAGUGUUUUAUGUACCUACCAAGCCAGAGCUAAAUGUUAAUUGUAUUGACCCGAUAACGCAAUAACUUAGAAUCUGUUCAAAUGCGAUAUGCAGAUACGAGCUCUCUAAAGGGGUAAAAAGCGUAACUAUGCUUAAAAAACACAAGUGAAACAAACAUUACUUAAUGAAGUCCACACACCCACACAUGCACACAGAUACACUGAGAACAUUGAUGGUUAACUAGGAAACUAAGCAAUUGAAUGUAUAUAUACUAAGCUACUAUGUUCGCUGUAGAAUUAGUUCGAAUUGCACUUUUUCGGGUCACGGGCUUGCACUUCCCUCGGAUAUAACUUCAAUAACUUUCUGACAAUCAGAGGUUCUAGCCUGGAACGAAAAACAAAAUAAAAAUAAUAAAAAAAAAAUAAAUAAAUAAUAUGCAACAGCAAAUCAACUUUAAACUGAGAACGACAUAAUGAUAUUUCUACACUGGAUAUUUCCAUGCAUGCCGCAAGUGAAACUUCGUUAAACUAAGAAAUCUAUUCCUAUGUAGCGUAGUGUAGUGUCCACAUCUCUGUAGCUGAGCCAAGCGCAUCUCCCGAGGAACUUUGCACCUGGAAACGAACACGGACGAACAAGGAUAUGGCCACGGAAUCGGAUAGCGAUAUCUAAACAUAGAAAAACACAAAAACACUCAGCAAUGUACACCCCCUGUCAAUGUCUAUUAAAUCGAAAUUAAACUCAACUUUACUGGAGAACGAAA
rnacentral:misc_RNA from 1 species